UACAGAGGUCCCAAGCGUUGUUCGGAUUCACUGGGCGUAAAGGGUGCGUAGGCGGUCGGGUAAGUCUGACGUGAAAUCUCCAAGCUCAACUUGGAAAUGGCGUCGGAUACUAUUCGGCUCGAGGAGUGGAGGGGAGACUGGAAUUCUCGGUGUAGCAGUGAAAUGCGUAGAUAUCGAGAGGAACACCAGUGGCGAAAGCGGCUUCCUGGACCAGAACUGACGAUCAGGCUCGAAAGCGUGGGGAGCAAACAGG
rnacentral:rRNA from 1 species